rnacentral:lncRNA from 1 species
AAUACAUUCAGAAAUGAAGCAUACUUACGUUUGACUCUCAAGUUUAGGAAGCUCAUGAUAUUUUAUUAGUACUAUCAUAUUUAUUUAUUUAUUCAUUCAUUCAUUUAUUGUAGCUGCUGAUGAGAAUAACUCAGCUUUGGAAAAGGGCUAAUGCAGAGAAGAUGAUUAACUAAGAACAUGACAGCAGUACAAUUUUGAAUUGAAAGAAGGCAAAGCAAGGAAAUAUAUCCUCAUAAUGGAUGAAGAAACAACAAGGGAGUGGUCUGAUGCCCGAGUUCACACAGGAAGCCAAUGCAAGAGCAGCAGCUUUUCUCCUGGGUCUCACAUUGGCAUUUGGACAGCUGAACCCAGCUUCCUGCACUCUGAGCUCAAGCAGGACACAGAGAUACAUUCAUUUGGCCAAGGGAUGGUGACUCCAUGAAGAUAAGACCGUUGGCUCUCUAUGAAAAAAAAAAAAAGUUUUUCUCAAAUGCAGAAUAUGGAUCUGUCAUAAAAAAGAUUUUAAAGAGAUGAAGAGGAGGGAGGAAAAAUUAUUACAAGAAUUGUUAAAGUGCUGGAAAGGAGGCAGAUCAGAGAAACGGAACAUUCUUGCAGAAUCAAGAAGCUAUGCUGAGUGUCUUGGAAGGCUUCUGAAUACAUUGAAGCUAGUACAAAAGAAACAGCACCUUGUGAAAUAGAAGAAUUAGAUGUGCUGUCAGUAAGUAGAAGAGGAAUGGUUUACUUUGUUUUCUGGGAAGUUUUACAAGUUCAGGGUUAAGGCCUGAUUUAGAACAUGAAGUUCCAAGUGUCUUUAUAUCUAAAUUCUAAGAGAAAAAAAAUAACAACA